AACGAACGCUGGCGGCAGGCUUAACACAUGCAAGUCGAACGCCCCGCAAGGGGAGUGGCAGACGGGUGAGUAACGCGUGGGAAUCUACCCAUCCCUACGGAAUAACGCAUGGAAACGUGUGCUAAUACCGUAUACGCCCUACGGGGGAAAGAUUUAUCGGGGAUGGAUGAGCCCGCGUUGGAUUAGCUAGUUGGUGGGGUAAGGGCCUACCAAGGCGACGAUCCAUAGCUGGUCUGAGAGGAUGAUCAGCCACAUUGGGACUGAGACACGGCCCAAACUCCUACGGGAGGCAGCAGUGGGGAAUAUUGGACAAUGGGCGCAAGCCUGAUCCAGCCAUGCCGCGUGAGUGAUGAAGGCCUUAGGGUUGUAAAGCUCUUUCACCGGAGAAGAUAAUGACGGUAUCCGGAGAAGAAGCCCCGGCUAACUUCGUG
rnacentral:rRNA from 1 species